rnacentral:tRNA from 1 species
GCCUUCGUGGUGUAGCGGUCAGCACGCUGGGCGCGUAUUCCGGAGGCCCGUGGUUCGAGUCUCGGCGAAGGCG